rnacentral:rRNA from 1 species
UGUCCGGUUUGAUCGGCAGAGAUGCCUUUCUUCAGUUCGGCUGGCCGGAACACAGGUGCUGCAUGGCUGUCGUCAGCUCGUGUCGUGAGAUGUUGGGUUAAGUCCCGCAACGAGCGCAACCCUCGCCCCUAGUUGCCAUCAUUCAGUUGGGAACUCUAGGGGGACUGCCGGUGAUAAGCCGCGAGGAAGGUGGGGAUGACGUCAAGUCCUCAUGGCCCUUACAGGCUGGGCUACACACGUGCUACAAUGGCGGUGACAAUGGGCAGCGAAGGGGUGACCUGGAGCUAAUCCCAAAAAGCCGUCUCAGUUCAGAUUGUACUCUGCAACUCGAGUACAUGAAGGUGGAAUCGCUAGUAAUCGUGGAUCAGCAUGCCACGGUGAAUACGUUCCCGGGCCUUGUACACACCGCCCGUCACACCAUGGGAGUUGGGUUUACCCGAAGGCGUCGCGCUAACCGCAAGGAGGCAGGCGACCACGGUAGGCUCAGCGACUGGGGUGAAGUCGUAACAAGGUAGCCGUAGGGGAACCUGCGGCUGGAUCACCUCCUUAAGCUUGGAUCCCGGG